GACGAACGCUGGCGGCGUGCUUAACACAUGCAAGUCGAACGGAAAGGCCCUGCUUUUGUGGGGUGCUCGAGUGGCGAACGGGUGAGUAACACGUGAGUAACCUGCCCUUGACUUUGGGAUAACUUCAGGAAACUGGGGCUAAUACCGGAUAGGAGCUCCUGCUGCAUGGUGGGGGUUGGAAAGUUUCGGCGGUUGGGUAUGGACUCGCGGCUUAUCAGCUUGUUGGUGGGGUAGUGGCUUACCAAGGCUUUGACGGGUAGCCGGCCUGAGAGGGUUACCGGCCACAUUGGGACUGAGAUACGGCCCAGACUCCUACGGGAGGCAGCAGUGGGGAAUAUUGCACAAUGGGCGGAAGCCUGAUGCAGCAACGCCGCGUGCGGGAUGACGGCCUUCGGGUUGUAAACAGCUUUCGCCUGUGACGAAGCGUGAGUGACGGUAAUGGGUAAAGAAGCACCGGCUAACUACGUG
rnacentral:rRNA from 1 species